UACGAAGGGGGCUAGCGUUGUUCGGAAUUACUGGGCGUAAAGCGCACGUAGGCGGGUCUGUAAGUUGGAGGUGAAAUCCCGGGGCUUAACCCCGGAACUGCCUUCAAGACUGCGGAUCUGGAGGUCAGGAGAGGCGAGCGGAAUACCGAGUGUAGAGGUGAAAUUCGUAGAUAUUCGGUGGAACACCAGUGGCGAAGGCGGCUUGCUGGACUGAUACUGACGCUGAGGUGCGAAAGCGUGGGGAGCAAACAGG
rnacentral:rRNA from 1 species